UGAUUUCUGGGAUGCACGGGCCGGUUGCGGUGCCUUGACCAACGUUCAGUUUUGACCUGUCAGAUCGUGGAACGAUGGUGAGCAUGCCUGCCCAUGAGCAGGACGCCUGAAGUCGCUCCCGACGACCAGAUUGGUAAUCAGGUCAUUUGUCCCGAGCCAUACCGGCAUCCCGGAUAGUUU
rnacentral:other from 1 species